UGUAGACUCAAUCCCUCGGGUUUCCGAGGAGAUUGGACUUGGGUGUCUGCCUCUUUUGGCUCGCCUUAAAAGACUUAGCAGGAUAGCACCAUAGUCGACUUAAUAAGUUUCGUCGGUGAAGGUGUGAUGUCUGCUCACAAUCGCCCUUGGGCACUUUUGACUCUGACCUCAAAUCAGGUAGGACUACCCGCUGAACUUAA
rnacentral:misc_RNA from 1 species